CGCUGGCGGCGUGCCUAAUACAUGCAAGUCGAACGCACUCUCGUUUAGAUUGAAGGAGCUUGCUCCUGAUUGAUAAACAUUUGAGUGAGUGGCGGACGGGUGAGUAACACGUGGGUAACCUGCCCUAAAGUGGGGGAUAACAUUUGGAAACAGAUGCUAAUACCGCAUAAAACCUAACACCGCAUGGUGUAGGGUUGAAAGAUGGUUUCGGCUAUCACUUUAGGAUGGACCCGCGGUGCAUUAGUUAGUUGGUGAGGUAAAGGCUCACCAAGACCGUGAUGCAUAGCCGACCUGAGAGGGUAAUCGGCCACACUGGGACUGAGACACGGCCCAGACUCCUACGGGAGGCAGCAGUAGGGAAUCUUCCACAAUGGACGAAAGUCUGAUGGAGCAACGCCGCGUGAGUGAAGAAGGUUUUCGGAUCGUAAAACUCUGUUGUUGGAGAAGAAUGUAUCUGAUAGUAACUGAUCAGGUAGUGACGGUAUCCAACCAGAAAGCCACGGCUAACUACGUGCCAGCAGCCGCGGUAAUACGUAGGUGGCAAGCGUUGUCCGGAUUUAUUGGGCGUAAAGCGAGCGCAGGCGGUUUCUUAAGUCUGAUGUGAAAGCCUUCGGCUCAACCGAAGAAGUGCAUCGGNAAACUGGGAAACUUGAGUGCAGAAGAGGACAGUGGAACUCCAUGUGUAGCGGUGAAAUGCGU
rnacentral:rRNA from 1 species